GCACCGGUGACUCCGGCAGCUCAGUCACAGCAGAUACCGGCCGCUCAAUCACGUACACCUGUCCAAGCGGAGGUAGCAAGGCUCUUUGCGCCAUAUAACAUUGGAGCCAGAAGGAAUAUGACGAGACGACCAGCACAAGUCCAAGUUAGCCGAAGAAGCUACACACACACUGUCUGUUGUUUGGCUGACCACAAUGCGGAUAAAAUUCCAAGCGUACUGUUUAAAGCUGAACUUCUUACUUCAGGACUUGGAGAGCAAAAAGUAACAUUUUCAGGGAAUGACCACGAUCCCAUGGUUAUAACAAAUAAACUGAUGGAAGUGUUUCCGAAGCUCCAACAAGGGGGAGGCUUUGAAUUUCUAAAACUUGUAGGAUCUACUCGCAGUCGAAAUCUUGCGUUGCUUCAGUGUCCCAGCACUGGAUACACCCUUGCCUAUCUGAAAGAUC